rnacentral:rRNA from 1 species
GACGAACGCUGGCGGCGUGCCUAAUACAUGCAAGUUGAGCGCUGAAGGUUGGUACUUGUACCGACUGGAUGAGCAGCGAACGGGUGAGUAACGCGUGGAUAAUCUGCCUUUGAGCGGGGGACAACAUUGGGAAACGAAUGCUAAUACCGCAUAAAAACUUUAAACACAAGGUUUAAGUUUGAAAGAUGCAAUUGCAUCACUCAAAGAUGAUCCCGCGUUGUAUUAGCUAGUUGGUGAGGUAAAGGCUCACCAAGGCGAUGAUACAUAGCCGACCUGAGAGGGUGAUUGGCCAAAUUGGGACUGAGACACGGCCCAAACUCCCACGGGAGGCAGCAGUAGGGAAACUUCGGGCAUGGACGAAAGUCUGACCGAGCAAGGCCGCGUGAGUGAAGAAGGGUUUCGGAUCGUAAAAAUCUGUUGGUAGAGAAGAAAGUUGGUGAGAGUGGAAAGAUCAUCAAGUGACGGUAACUACUCAGAAAGCGACGGCUAACUACGUG